UGGUUUUAUCGCCAGUCGAUUUGAUACCUUGAUUGCAUUUCCUACUAGAAAAUCUGGCAGCUACUGAGCUAGCUGCUAGAAACUGUCAAAUGAAAAUGACUAAUUAAGAGGCCAACAUUAUUUGGGGACAAUGGUGCACUGCUCAGUUUGCCUGGAGGUGCUAACCAACCCUUGCUGUUGUGUUCCCUGUGGUCAUAUGUUCUGCAGGAACUGUAUAGAAUCAUGGUCUAAACGUACAAAAGAAUGUCCUGACUGUAGAAGACAGAUUGAUCGUCUGCAGUCCAUCUUUGGUUUGGAAGAUAGUAAACACAACAAUGAUGAAACUGAUACCAAAGCAAAAGGAGAUCAAAGCUUCUUCCUGCAACAACACAGAACAGCACUGCAAAAGCAAUGGGUACUUUUGAUAAUUGGGAUUGUCAUCAUGGUCGGGCUAGUGAUAGAUCUGGGCUCCUCUGAUAGUUGGUCAUAUCAUAUCAUUCAGAAAGCUACAACAAUACCGGGUGUAAUUUUGAACUUGUUGGUUUUAGUCAUCACAUUUCUGUGUAAACUGUUGAUGUUUCCAUUUCAGUUUUUGUACAAUAUCAACAGUUUGUUUGAUUCCUUUUCUUCUUUCGUUAACCAUAUGUUUUGGAUUAUUAUUUAUAUUUUUCUCUUUGUAUUUAUUGUUUGGUAUUGUGUGCACACUGUGUCUAUAACAAAAGAUCGCAUUAAAUGGAAAAAGAAACGCCGUUAAUUUUUUCAUGCAGAAUGUACAUAUAUAAAUAUGAAAUCCCAAAGGGAUUGGUCAUUUUUCAUGUACAUAUGAAUUUCAUAGGGAUUGGUCAACGAUUUAUUAUUACCAAAUCUGUCACAUGAUGCUGAUGUUGGUACUGUUUAUCAAUUAUUUACAUUGUAAUUUGUUUGUUACAGUAUAUUUUUUAGUUCACCUGAGCCUAAGGCUCAAUUGAGCUUUUCUGAGUAAAUUUUGUCCGUCAUUUGUCAUCUGCCACACUGUGUGUUAACUUUCCAUAUAACCAUGGUCGAUCUCACAAUCUCUUCCCUAAGUUAAGAAGAGAUAGCAAGACCGAAUGUCGGUUACUAGCCCAAUAUCAACCAAACUUGGCACAAAGCAUCAUUUGGUGGAGGAGAUUUGAGAUUUUAUUUAAGUGAAGGACCACAUUCACUUGAGGGGGAGUAACUGAGAAUUAAGUCUGACCCUCAAGACCACAGUGUGGAUUAAAGAUUUACGUGCUCAAUUGAGUGGUGUGGCCCAUGAGGCUCCUGUGCUGUGGUGGUGGUCAGGAACAAUGCACACUUAUUCUCUUUUUAUCAAUAGAUGAAAGCGUUAACAUUGCUAUACAAAAGUAGCAAACAUUGUAAUUGUGCAACAUUCUGUUCUACAUUUAUUUCCAAUUUCAUCAUCAUACAUUGAAGCUGAUUUGAUUUGAGAUGCAUUGUAUUUAGCAAUAAAAGUUGUUUUUUUUUA